rnacentral:rRNA from 1 species
AUUGCACGCUGGCGGCAGGCCUAACACAUGCAAGUCGAACGAGUGGCGGACGGGUGAGUAAUGUCUGGGAAACUGCCCGAUGGAGGGGGAUAACUACUGGACACGGUAGCUAAUACCGCAUACCAUCGGAUGUGCCCCGAUGGGCUUAGCUAGUAGGUGGGGUAACGGCUCACCUAGGCGACGAUCCCUAGCUGGUCUGAGAGGAUGACCAGCCACACUGGAACUGAGACACGGUCCAGACGCCUACGGGAGGCAGCAGUGGGGAAUAUGGCAGAAUGGGCGCAAGCCUGAUGCAGACAUGCCGCGGGUAUGAAGAGGGGCUUCGGGUUGUAAAGUACUUUCAGCGAGGAGGCGUUACGCGCAGAAGAAGCACCGGCUAACGCCGUGCCAGCAGCCGCGGUAAUUC